CUCACUCUCACCAGAGCCCUCCAACAGCACUGAGUGUAUUUCCAGGAAGCCUGUGACCAGGGCUGAGAAGUUGCCCCAGACCACGAGCCGCCCCAUUGAGAAAGCAAGCAGACUCACAGUUUUUUGGCACCUCAGGGAGCCUGCAGUGGUGAUCCAGUUCCUUCAAAGGGUCUGUGGAUUCUCUCAGCUUUCCUGUGAGGAUGCAGCCAGAACAUGCCAUUUAUGGACCAGGAAACCAGUCGUCACUAGAAAUUGAAUCUGCCACACCUUGAUCUUGGACUUCCCAGCCUCCAGAACUCCCCUGACAAAAACUAAAUAGAUCAUGGCAGAUGGUGACAAACUACCAUCAACUUAACCAGAUGAACUCGCCAAUCUAAGCUGAUGUGCCAGAUGUGAUACCUUUACUAGAGUGCCAAGCACAUUCGGAGAGCCAGGGUGUGCUUGUCGAAGAGAUAUUCUGCCGAGCCAGAUUCGGGCGCUCCCAUCUUGCGCAAGUUGGUCACGUGGUCACUCAAUUCUUUGAUGGCUUUCACCUGCUCAUUCAGGGCACUAAUAUACACAUGAUGAUACUUAAUUCUCUCAGAAAACCUUUGGCAAAGACACUUUCUACAUCUUGAAGGCAAGGAAUCUGAAUCUUGAAGAGAUUAAAUGAAUUGUCCAAAGUCACGUGGGGGUUUGGGAGAAGGAAAAUCAUGAACACACAUUCUUCUACUCUGGAGAAGUGGGGAAGGUGACCUGGGAAACCAUCUGAAAGGGAGCAGGAUGGAUUCUAUAAAAUAUAGAGUGUUCAAUGAAAACAACCUGAUGCUCCUCCCAGUACCAUCACAUUUUUCUAGCUGCAUAUCCUUAGGCAUGAGGCUGAAGCCAGGAAAUGACCCAACAUUGAGGGUAAUCUGGGCACUGAAGGCACUACAAUUCCCAGGAUUUUUCAAGAAAAUGUCGAAUGUGCUGCCACAUAUGUCGGAUGCACAUGGAUCCCCUCCCACAAGGAAAAUCACGAUUGAAGAUCACCUCCUUGAAGAUGUCGUAUUGGGAGCGGUGUUUUUCCCUGUUGCUGACAGGUUAGACUUGCACAGGCGUCAGUACUGAGGUGUGAGACGGAGCCCAUGUAUGGCUUCUAUCUCUGCACUGUGGCUGCUCCGUUCAUGUGUCAGUCACAUCAGCUCAGAGACUGCCUAAUGUCAACUGGCCUAGUCAUUUUGUC
rnacentral:lncRNA from 1 species